rnacentral:rRNA from 2 species
UGCGAGACCGAUAGCGAACAAGUACCGUGAGGGAAAGAUGAAAAGAACUUUGAAAAGAGAGUUAAAGAGUACCUGAAACUGCUGAAAGGGAACCGAAUCGUAUCCAGUGUCUAUAGUCCAUAGCAUAUUUCAUUGGCGAAUGAGUGCGUGCGGCGUUUUGGAAGUGGUUUCCGCUCCUGUCGUUGUUGUGCAUUUUUUUGCUGGUGCCCUGUGCUGUGGUGGGACGUCAGAGUCAGUUUGUAUGUUGCGGGAAAUGGUUAUCGGGGAGGUAGGUCAUUUCGGUGGCUGUUAUAUCCUGGUGACUAGUCGUCGUGGCUGAGACUGAGGUGCCUACAAUGUGCUUUCGAGUCUGCGGAUUUCUCGUGUGGAUGUUUGCUUGGAUAGCUUGCUAUGUUGGCGAAUAAGUCGUGCGAUUGAGAUUUGUAGUAACUUGUUGCUGUUCGGGACUUUGAA